rnacentral:rRNA from 1 species
CGGCGUGCCUAAUACAUGCAAGUAGAACGCUGAAGGAGGAGCUUGCUUCUCCGGAUGAGUUGCGAACGGGUGAGUAACGCGUAGGUAACCUGCCUGGUAGCGGGGGAUAACUAUUGGAAACGAUAGCUAAUACCGCGUAACAGUAGAUAUUGCAUGAUAUCUGCUUGAAAGGUGCAAUUGCAUCACUACCAGAUGGACCUGCGUUGUAUUAGCUAGUUGGUGGGGUAACGGCUCACCAAGGCGACGAUACAUAGCCGACCUGAGAGGGUGAUCGGCCACACUGGGACUGAGACACGGCCCAGACUCCUACGGGAGGCAGCAGUAGGGAAUCUUCGGCAAUGGACGGAAGUCUGACCGAGCAACGCCGCGUGAGUGAAGAAGGUUUUCGGAUCGUAAAGCUCUGUUGUAAGAGAAGAACGAGUGUGAGAGUGGAAAGUUCACACUGUGACGGUAUCUUACCAGAAAGG